GUCCUGCUGCGGCUCACGUCGAAGGCGACUAAUCCUCGCGACCUUAAUUCUCUCAAAGGGAGCUGUCCCUGUUCGGGCUCGAGGGCCUGGGCACACGGCGCCCACCUGGUCUGCCAGGUCGAGAGGAUUGAACAGUCCUUCACGGCUCACGCGGCGCCGCC
rfam:Caulobacterales bacterium RIFCSPHIGHO2_01_FTLL_70_19 rifcsphigho2_01_scaffold_906, whole genome shotgun sequence.